rnacentral:rRNA from 1 species
AUUUCCUACGGGGCGCAGCAGUAGGGAAUCUUCCACAAUGGACGAAAGUCUGAUGGAGCAACGCCGCGUGAGUGAAGAAGGGUUUCGGCUCGUAAAGCUCUGUUGGUAGUGGAGAAAGAUAGAGGUAGUAACUUGCCUUUAUUUGACGGUAAUUACUUAUGAAGUAACGGCCAACUACGUGCCAGCAGCCGCGGUAAUACGUAUGUGGCAAGCGUUGUCCGGGUUUAUUGGGCGU